rnacentral:rRNA from 1 species
UACGAAGGGGGCUAGCGUUGCUCGGAAUUACUGGGCGUAAAGGGAGCGUAGGCGGAUAGUUUAGUCAGAGGUGAAAGCCCAGGGCUCAACCUUGGAAUUGCCUUUGAUACUGGCUAUCUUGAGUUUGGGAGAGGUGAGUGGAACUCCGAGUGUAGAGGUGAAAUUCGUAGAUAUUCGGAAGAACACCAGUGGCGAAGGCGACUCACUGGCCCAAUACUGACGCUGAGGCUCGAAAGCGUGGGGAGCAAACAGG